rnacentral:rRNA from 1 species
GAUGAACGCUAGCGGCAGGCUCAACACAUGCAAGUCGAGGGGUAUAGUUCUUCGGAACUAGAGACCGGCGCACGGGUGCGUAACGCGUAUGCAAUCUACCUUUUACAGGGGAAUAGCCCAGAGAAAUUUGGAUUAAUGCCCCAUAGUAUAGUUUAUUCGCAUGAGUAGAUUAUUAAAGUUCCAACGGUAAAAGAUGAGCAUGCGUCCCAUUAGCUAGAUGGUAAGGUAACGGCUUACCAUGGCGACGAUGGGUAGGGGUACUGAGAGGGAGAUCCCCCACACUGGUACUGAGACACGGACCAGACUCCUACGGGAGGCAGCAGUGAGGAAUAUUGGUCAAUGGACGCAAGUCUGAACCAGCCAUGCCGCGUGCAGGAUGACGGUCCUAUGGAUUGUAAACUGCUUUUGUACGAGAAGAAACACUGCUACGUGUAGCAGCUUGACGGUAUCGUAAGAAUAAGGAUCGGCUAACUCCGUGCCAGCAGCCGCCGUAA